rnacentral:rRNA from 1 species
GAUGAACGCUGGCGGCGUGCCUAAUACAUGCAAGUCGAGCGAACGGACGAGAAGCUGGCUUCUCUGAUGUUAGCGGCGGACGGGUGAGUAACACGGGGAUAACCUACCUAUAAGACUGGGAUAACUUCGGGAAACCGUAGCUAAUACCGGAUAAUAUUUUGAACCGCAUGGUUCAAAAGUGAAAGACGGUCUUGCUGUCACUUAUGGAUGGAUCCGCGCUGCAUUAGCUAGUUGGUAAGGUAACGGCUUACCAAGGCAACGAUGCAUAGCCGACCUGAGAGGGUGAUCGGCCACACUGGAACUGAGACACGGUCCAGACUCCUACGGGAGGCAGCAGUAGGGAAUCUUCCGCAAUGGGCGAAAGCCUGACGGAGCAACGCCGCGUGAGUGAUGAAGGUCUUCGGAUCGUAAAACUCUGUUAUUAGGGAAGAACAUAUGUGUAAGUAACUGUGCACAUCUUGACGGUACCUAAUCAGAAAGCCACGGCUAACUACGUG